UACGUAGGGGCGAGCGUUGUCCGGAAUUAUUGGGCGUAAAGGGUUCGUAGGCGGUUAAAUAAGUCAGGUGUGAAAGCCAUAGGCUCAACCUAUGUAAGCACUUGAAACUGUAUAACUUGAGUUAAGGAGAGGAAAGUGGAAUUCCUAGUGUAGCGGUGAAAUGCGUAGAUAUUAGGAGGAAUACCAGUGGCGAAGGUGACUUUCUGGACUUAUACUGACGCUGAGGAACGAAAGCGUGGGGAGCAAACAGGAUUAGAUAGCCGCGUAGUCCCUGAGCGGGCU
rnacentral:rRNA from 1 species